rnacentral:rRNA from 1 species
UUAGAGUUUGAUCCUGGCUCAGGACGAACGCUGGCGGCGUGCCUAACACAUGCAAGUUGAGCGGGAAUUCAUUUUUUGAGAUUUCGAUUGAAGAAGAUGAAGGAGAGCAGCGGACGGGUGAGUAACGCGUGAGCAAUCUACCCUGUGGAGGGGGAUAGCCUCUGGAAACGGAGAUUAAUACCGCAUAACACUGCACUAUCGCAUGAUGGAGCAGUCAAAAUUCAGGUGCCACAGGAUGAGCUCGCGUCUCAUUAGCUAGUUGGUAGGGUAAAGGCCUACCAAGGCGACGAUGAGUAGCCGACCUGAGAGGGUGAUCGGCCACACUGGGACUGAGACACGGCCCAGACUCCUACGGGAGGCAGCAGUGGGGAAUAUUGCGCAAUGGGGGAAACCCUGACGCAGCAACGCCGCGUGAAUGAAGAAGGCUUUCGGGUCGUAAAAUUCUGUCCUUAGGGAAGAAGAAAGUGACGGUACCUAAGGAGGAAGCCCCGGCUAACUACGUGCCAGCAGCCGCGGUAAUACGUAGGGGGCGAGCAUUGUCCGGAAUCACUGGGCGUAAAGGGCGCGUAGGCGGUAUAUUAAGUCAGGUGUGAAAGUUUUCGGCUCAACCGGAAAAGUGCACUUGAAACUAAUAAACUUGAGUACUGGAGAGGUAAGCGGAAUUCCUAGUGUAGCGGUGAAAUGCGUAGAUAUUAGGAGGAACACCGGUGGCGAAGGCGGCUUACUGGACAGAGACUGACGCUGAGGCGCGAAAGCGUGGGGAGCAAACAGGAUUAGAUACCCUGGUAGUCCACGCCGUAAACGAUGAGUAUUAGGUGUUGGUGAGAAUCAGUGCCGGAGUUAACACAAUAAAUACUCCGCCUGGGGAGUACGGUCGCAAGACUGAAACUCAAAGGAAUUGACGGGACCCCGCACAAGUAGCGGAGCAUGUGGUUUAAUUCGAAGCAACGCGAAGAACCUUACCAGGUCUUGACAUCCUCUGACAGCGUUAGAGAUAGCGCAUUCCUUUCGGGGACAGAGAGACAGGUGGUGCAUGGUUGUCGUCAGCUCGUGUCGUGAGAUGUUGGGUUAAGUCCCGCAACGAGCGCAACCCUUGUGUUUAGUUGCCAGCAUGAAAGAUGGGCACUCUAGACAGACUGCCGUAGAUAAUACGGAGGAAGGUGGGGAUGACGUCAAAUCAUCAUGCCCCUUAUGACCUGGGCUACACACGUGCUACAAUGGGAUGAACAGAGGGUAGCGAAGUAGUGAUACGGAGCCAAUCUCAAAAAACAUCUCCCAGUUCGGAUUGCAGGCUGCAACUCGCCUGCAUGAAGUCGGAGUUACUAGUAAUCGCAAAUCAGAAUGUUGCGGUGAAUGCGUUCCCGGGGUUUGUACACACCGCCCGUCACACCACGAAAGUCGGCAACACCCGAAGUCAGUGAGCUAACCAAUAUGGAGGCAGCUGCCUAAGGUGGGGUUGAUGAUUGGGGUGAAGUCGUAACAAGGUAACC